rnacentral:rRNA from 1 species
UUGGGCACUGUCUCAACGAGGGGCUCGGUGAAAUUGUAAUGACGGUGAAGAUGCCGUCUACCUGCGACAGGACAGAAAGACCCCGUGGAGCUUUACUGUAGCUUGACAUUGGGUUUUGGUAUUUGAUGUACAGGAUAGGUGGGAGACAUGGAAGUAGGUACGCCAGUACUUAUGGAGUCACCGUUGGGAUACCACCCUUUAAGUAUUGAAAUUCUAACUUUAGUCCAUGAAGCUGGAUUGAGGACAGUGUCAGGUGGGCAGUUUGACUGGGGCGGUCGCCUCCCAAAAGGUAACGGAGGCGCC